AACGUAGGGGACAAGCGUUAUCCGGAUUUACUGGGCGUAAAGCGCCCGUAGGCGGCUUUUUAAGUUGGACGUGAAAGCUCCCGGCUUAACUGGGAGAGGCCGUUCAAAACUGAGAAGCUCGAGUGAGGAAGAGGAGAGCAGAAUUCCCGGUGUAGUGGUGGAAUGCGUAGAGAUCGGGAGGAAUACCAGUGGCGAAGGCGACUACCUGGCCUGUUAUUGACGCUGAGGCGCGAAAGCUAGGGGAGCAAACGGG
rnacentral:rRNA from 1 species